rnacentral:rRNA from 1 species
GACGAACGCUGGCGGCGUGCUUAACACAUGCCAGUCGAACGGAAAGGCCUGCUUUCCCUUGUGGAUUGCGGGUACUCGAGUGGCGAACGGGUGAGUAACACGUGAGUGAUCUGCCCCCAACUUGGGUAUAAGCCUGGGAAACUGGGUCUAAUUCCCGAUAGGACUGCAGGGUGGUGCCUGUGGUGGAAAACGAUUUUCUAGUGGUUGGGGAUGAGCUCGCGGCCUAUCAGCUUGUUGGUGGGGUAAUGGCCUACCAAGGCGGCGACGGGUAGCCGGCCUGAGAGGGUGGACGGCGACAGUGGGACUGAGAAGCGGCCCAGACUCCUACGCGAGGCAGCAGUGGGGAAGAGUGGACGAUGGGCGGAAGCCUGAAGCAGCGACGCCGCGCGGGGGAUGACGGGCUGCGGGUGGUAAGCUCCUUUCGACGGCGAGGAAGCCACCUGGUUGGAAGGGUGGUGACGGUAGUGGUAGAAGAAGCACCGGCUAACUACGUG